rnacentral:lncRNA from 1 species
GCCCUGUCUUCCACAUUCCUGGGGGCUCUGGGAGGAGAGCAAACCCACAUCAAAGCUGUGGCGGACAGAAGGCCCUCUGGGCCUCUUACUUCUGCCACUGUCUACCCGAUCCUCCAAACACAGGCCACCAUAGGCCCAAGCAGGGAAGCCUCCAUGAGUAAGGAUUUGGGGUUUAGUGCCCUCGACAGUGGACAGUGAUGACAUUAGGGUCCAAGGGUCUCACAGCCUGGUGUCUGGUAGAGCCUAGCCCGGAGAUUGCUGUUGCUGAUCUGGGCAGGCCUGGGAGGGAGAGAGAUGGCCUGCUUCCCCUGCCCCGUAGGAGCUAUUCUCUUCGGGAUGUAUUUUCCAGGCCCUGACGCAAGCAGAAGUACAUCAGGAGAUAAGUGCCGAGGGGCAGCCAGCCAGGGCUGGCCCUGUCCCAGCUCCCACGAGAGCAGCCAGCUCUGGCCCUGGGGCCCUGGCUGCCCACCCAUCGCCUGUUCAGAGCAGGUCUUUGUGCCCCAGCCUUGUAGGUGCGGGGGUGGGAUGGGGUUCUUGGCACCAGCAGCCUUCUGACCACAUGGAACAGCAGCUGGCCAAGGUCUCUACAGUGUAUAAAAAGGGACACUGGGACUGCAGCAGCAGGACUCCACUUCGCAGCAGACAAGGAGUCUUCCACCGAUUCUCCAGAGACCCACACAGCUCACCAAGGACCCAGCAGCCCAGGCAGAUGACUUUCCAUCUGAUGCUGGAGGCAGGAGUGCUAGCUGAAGGUGUCUGUAGGCACUGGGUCCAAGCCACAGUGCUUCCAAACACCUGGGCCUGGGUGUGUGGCUCAGUGGCAGUGUGCUUGCCUAGCAUGCAUGAGGCCCUAGGUUCCAUCCCUAGUGCCACAAAAAAGGGAAAAAAAGUCAAUAAAGUUAAUUUCCUUUAAACUUAUUAAGUGUGAUAACGCUGACAAAAAUAAAAUGUUCAGCCAAAGUUGUUCUGUUGUGCUGUGUUUUCCUUUUGUUUCUGUUGGUCGAAAUGUCACAUAGUUCUUUGGGGAACUUAAUUAAAAAUGCACAAAGCUUUGGGGUAUAGA